UGUGCCAUAUAUGGAAAGCGCCACCAGAGGUGCGAAUAUCACUGCGCGGCGCUUUUUUAGACGCGCUCAUCCGUCUAGUCGCAGCUUGUGGGUUAUAUUCUACCGCUCGAUCUGGCUCAGGGUGGGCAUCGGUGAAGUCGGGAAACACGGGUAGUGUGCCGUUACGAAUAGCGUGGCGCGAGCUUGCAAAGCCUUUGAUCACACUUUCUGAUAGGCCCUUAAAUAUUUAAUGAACUAUCCAGCCGCAAAUGUUCUCGCUGGGUCGCACUUGGCGAAUUGCGCCAAUCGCUGGGAUUACAAAAAAAGUGGAGGGGUAAGAGUGCGAAACUGAGUGCUGUUAGAACACCGAAAAUAGAUAGAAAAAACAAUAAGCACAACACAGCCUUAUUGGUGGAGAAAAGGGGCGGACUAGCAAUCCGCUGUGAUUGACAGCACUUUACCGAAACACUGCACUUGCAACCGGAGGUAUUCGAAAGUACAGAGCUCGAAUUGCUUAGCCUGCUAGCCGGUUCUCCGGAGAUCGAAACUCCGGAGAGCCGGGUAGCAGGCUACGAAUUUCUUGGCGUAAUCUAGCCUUGAAGAUGUGGAACAUGUAGCGCGAGCGUAAAGACAACUACUUCCCUUUAAGGAUUUAUCUGGUAAAUCUUAUCUUAGAAAGAUAAAAAUAACACACAAGCGCAAAGGAGAUGCACCGUAGAGAUGGAGGAAGCACACGACGUCAUAUAAAGGCAGAACUACCAUCAACAUUAGUAGACAUAAGUGACGCCCCAGGCAAUAGCUACUAAGCAACACAUCCAAGGCAAGAUACAGUGGGCAGAGGAAAUAAUGAAUGAGCUUUUUACAUGUUCAACGGGCAACAUCUACCCAGCAACACACCCAAGGCAAAAUACAGUGGGAACAGAGAGGGGAGAGGGGGAAGCUAUGCUCCUACUGGCAAUUUCUUUUUAAUUUUUAAAAAUAAUAUAGGGGAGGAGGCAGAAGCCAUUGAUAAAGUCUAUGCAAACAUGCUACAAUAGUACAUAUUUUCUGACUAGUCAAACAACACUUUCUGAGCUCUGUAACGCAAUGUGCUUGGGCUAAGAAAGACUGUGUACGAGACUAAGAUAUGAAAAGCAUUGUCCAUCAAUUUAGGCAAGGACCAUUCUCUAAAACCCAGGAUUUUUCUCUCUAGCCUGUCAAGUUUGGGUUAGCCUGUUAAGUGUCAGUUAGCCUGUUAGGUGUCAGUUAGCCUGUUAGGUGUCAGUUAGCCUGUUAGGUGUCAGUUAGCCUGUUAGGUGUCAGUUAGCCUGUUAGGUGUCAGUUAGCCUGUUAGGUGUCAGUUAGCCUGUUAGGUGUCAGUUAGCCUGUUAGGUGUCAGUUAGCCUGUUAGGUGUCAGUUAGCCUGUUAGGUGUCAGUUAGCCUGUUAGGUGUCAGUUAGCCUGUUAGGUGUCAGUUAGCCUGUUAGGUGUCAGUUAGCCCUAGUGUCAGUUAGCCUGUUAGGUGUCAGUUAGCCCUAGUGUCAGUUAGCCCUAGUGUCAGUUAGCCCUAGUCACAGUUAGCCUUACAUGUGAGUAAUAAGCUUGAGCUGUUUUGUCAGUAAAAAGCCCUGAAGUCAGUUAGCCCUAGUGUCAGUUAGCCCUAGUCACAGUUAGCCUUACAUGUGAGUAAUAAGCUUGAGCUGUUUUGUCAGUAAAAAGCCCUGAAGUCAGUUAGCCCUAGUGUCAGUUAGCCCUAGUCACAGUUAGCCUUACAUGUGAGUAAUAAGCUUGAGCUGUUUUGUCAGUAAAAAGCCCUGAAGUCAGUUAGCCCUAGUGUCAGUUAGCCCUAGUCACAGUUAGCCUUACAUGUGAGUAAUAAGCUUGAGCUGUUUUGUCAGUAAAAGGCACCAUAGCCACUGUAGCACAAACAUUGGCCAAGGGUAUUAUUUAUCUUUUUUUUUUUUUUUUUGGGGGGGGGGGGGAGUACUAAAAUGUAUAACAACAUCAUGCUGAUCUAGUUACCUUUGAAGCUUGCCCUCUUCAGAUCUUUUCCCUCUGUAGAGCCUUAAAUCUGAAAUCAAACAAACACAUAGGUAUCUCGAAUGGUACAUACAGCACCAAAGAUUCAGAAAUUAUAAAGGUUGGUUCUCACUUGGACGUAAGCGCAAGCGGAACGCACAUAGUUUUCCGAUUUUCACUACAACAUAAGCGCAAGAGAAUGCAACUGCGUGAUUUUCUUGCGCUUGCGCUUAUGUUUGACCGAUUCACACUUGUGUUGCGCUUCCGUUUGCGCUUACGUCCUAGUGAGAACCAACCUUAAGUUAGCCCUACAUUCUUUUUUAUUUUGCAAGAAGAGACAGAAGCAUUGACUACGAAAUAUGACAUUGCAAAACUAGUUGUACAUUCAAAAUAUCACUUUUUCUCUCUGGAAAUGCAUGAUAAUGGUUGAUAUCUCCAUAAAAGUGGUAUAAAGGAACUCUAAACCAUCAGCAAGAUCGCAAAAAAUAAAGUGCAUUUUAUAAAACAUUUAUUUUGGUAAUUACAUGAGUGCCGUAAAGUCUGAAACAAAAUAAAACAAAGUAUAUAAAACA